GGAUAGAGGUUAUCUUGAAGUUCUAUCAAAUAUCAAUCUAUGGAUCAAGGUUAUCUUGAAGUUCUAUCAAAUAUCGAUCUAUAGAUCGAGGUUAUCUUAAAAUUUCAUCAAAUAUCGAUCUACAGAUCGAGGUUAUCUUAAAGAUCUAUCAAAUAUCGAACUACGAAUCAAGGUUAUCUUGAAGAUCUAUCAAAAAUUGAUCUACA
rnacentral:lncRNA from 1 species